UGAAUGGUAGUCCUAAAGGCAGUGUGAGAGCACAGAUUUGGUCUGUCUUCAGUUGCCAUGAAGACAGGGAAUGCCGCACUAUGAAGCUGUCUGACAUGGAGAACCCUAGAUGAAAAUUCACAGAUAAUAUAAAAAGACAAUGACUCUAUGCCAAAGAGUUUAUACAAUACAAGGACUAGGACCUGCGACCCUUACCUACAGUGGUACUCACAUGGUCAGCAAUUAGAGGGGGAAAGCACUUAUUCUUCCUCAUGCUAAAUCCAGUCGCUCCCCACAGCAAUCAUGUAAAUCUUGGCAUCCGUCACACAGAAGAAUGAAAAGUCAAAUCAACAGGAAUCUUUCACAUGAAAGCAACAGGCAGCC